AGCGAACGCUGGCGGCAGGCUUAACACAUGCAAGUCGAGCGCCGUAGCAAUACGGAGCGGCAGACGGGAGAGUAACACGUGGGAACGUGCCCUUCAGUUCGGAACAACCCAGGGAAACUUGGGCUAAUACCGGAUACGUCCGAAAGGAGAAAGAUUUAUCGCUGAAGGAUCGGCCCGCGUCUGAUUAGCUAGUUGGUGGGGUAAUGGCCCACCAAGGCGACGAUCAGUAGCUGGUCUGAGAGGAUGAUCAGCCUCACUGGGACUGAGACACGGCCCAGACUCCUACGGGAGGCAGCAGUGGGGAAUAUUGGACAAUGGGGGCAACCCUGAUCCAGCCAUGCCGCGUGGGUGAUGAAGGCCCUAGGGUUGUAAAGCCCUUUCGGCGGGGAAGAUAAUGACGGUACCCGCAGAAGAAGCCCCGGCUAACUUCGUGCCAGCCGCCGCCGUAA
rnacentral:rRNA from 1 species